CUACGGGGCGCUCCAGUGGGGAAUAUUGCACAAUGGGCGCAAGCCUGAUGCAGCCAUGCCGCGUGUAUGAAGAAGGCCUUCGGGUUGUAAAGUACUUUCAGCGGGGAGGAAGGGAGUAAAGUUAAUACCUUUGCUCAUUGACGUUACCCGCAGAAGAAGCACCGGCUAACUCCGUGCCAGCAGCCGCGGUAAUACGGAGGGUGCAAGCGUUAAUCGGAAUUACUGGGCGUAAAGCGCACGCAGGCGGUUUGUUAAGUCAGAUGUGAAAUCCCCGGGCUCAACCUGGGAACUGCAUCUGAACUGGCAAGCUUGAGUCUCGUAGAGGGGGGUAGAAUUCCAGGUGUAGCGGUGAAAUGCGUAGAGAUCUGGAGGAAUACCGGUGGCGAAGGCGGCCCCCUGGACGAAGACUGACGCUCAGGUGCGAAAGCGUGGGGAGCAAACAGGAUUAGAUACCCCCAGUAGUC
rnacentral:rRNA from 1 species